rnacentral:rRNA from 1 species
AUAGUGGGGAGUAGCCUUUCGAAAGGAAGAUUAAUACCGCAUAAGAUUGUAGUAUCGCAUGAUAUAGCAAUUAAAGGAGCAAUUCGCUAUAAGAUGGACCCGCGUCGCAUUAGCUAGUUGGUGAGGUAAUGGCUCACCAAGGCGACGAUGCGUAGCCGACCUGAGAGGGUGAUCGGCCACAUUGGGACUGAGACACGGCCCAGACUCCUACGGGAGGCAGCAUG